CCUACGGGCGGCAGCAGUGAGGAAUAUUGGUCAAUGGGCGCGAGCCUGAACCAGCCAAGUAGCGUGAAGGAUGACUGCCCUACGGGUUGUAAACUUCUUUUAUAAAGGAAUAAAGUGAGGCACGUGUGCCUUUUUGUAUGUACUUUAUGAAUAAGGAUCGGCUAACUCCGUGCCAGCAGCCGCGGUAAUACGGAGGAUCCGAGCGUUAUCCGGAUUUAUUGGGUUUAAAGGGUGCGUAGAUGGGAUUUUAAGUCAGUUGUAAAAGUUUGGGGCUUCACCGUAAUUGUGCAAUUAAUAGGGAGUACUAGAGUAAAGACGAGGUAGGCGGAAUAAGUUAAGUAGCGGUGAAAUGAUUAGAUAGAACUUAGAA
rnacentral:rRNA from 1 species